GGUCGGGUCCCAUGCAAGCAUCGGGCGUGAACCUGGUCAGGCGGGGAACCGAGCAGCCAUAAGCGAUUCUGAUGUUGUGCUGUGGUAAACCCGACCACC
rnacentral:SRP_RNA from 1 species